rnacentral:rRNA from 1 species
AGAGUUUGAUCCUGGCUCAGGAUGAACGCUAGCUAUAGGCUUAACACAUGCAAGUCGAGGGGAAACGACAUCGAAAGCUUGCUUUUGAUGGGCGUCGACCGGCGCACGGGUGAGUAACGCGUAUCCAACCUGCCCACCACUUGGGGAUAACCUUGCGAAAGUAAGACUAAUACCCAAUGAUAUCUCUAGAAGACAUCUGAAAGGGAUUAAAGAUUUAUCGGUGAUGGAUGGGGAUGCGUCUGAUUAGCUUGUUGGCGGGGUAACGGCCCACCAAGGCGACGAUCAGUAGGGGUUCUGAGAGGAAGGUCCCCCACAUUGGAACUGAGACACGGUCCAAACUCCUACGGGAGGCAGCAGUGAGGAAUAUUGGUCAAUGGGCGAGAGCCUGAACCAGCCAAGUAGCGUGCAGGAUGACGGCCCUAUGGGUUGUAAACUGCUUUUAUAAGGGAAUAAAGUGAGUCUCGUGAGACUUUUUGCAUGUACCUUAUGAAUAAGGACCGGCUAAUUCCGUGCCAGCAGCCGCGGUAAUACGGAAGGUCCGGGCGUUAUCCGGAUUUAUUGGGUUUAAAGGGAGCGUAGGCCGGAGAUUAAGCGUGUUGUGAAAUGUAGACGCUCAACGUCUGCACUGCAGCGCGAACUGGUUUCCUUGAGUACGCACAAAGUGGGCGGAAUUCGUGGUGUAGCGGUGAAAUGCUUAGAUAUCACGAAGAACUCCGAUUGCGAAGGCAGCUCACUGGAGCGCAACUGACGCUGAAGCUCGAAAGUGCGGGUAUCGAACAGGAUUAGAUACCCUGGUAGUCCGCACGGUAAACGAUGGAUGCCCGCUGUUGGUCUGAAUAGGUCAGCGGCCAAGCGAAAGCAUUAAGCAUCCCACCUGGGGAGUACGCCGGCAACGGUGA